rnacentral:rRNA from 1 species
CGCGUAGGUGGUAGUGAAAGUCUAUGGUGGAAUCUUAGGGCUUAACCCUAAAACUGCCUUGGAAACUUCAUUACUUGAGUCAGUGAGGGGAGGGUAGAAUUCCUGGUGUAGCGGUGAAAUGCGUAGAUAUCAGGAGGAAGGCCGGUGGCGAAGGCGGCCCUCUGGCGCUGAACUGACGCUGAGGCGCGAAAGCGUGGGUAGCAAACAGGAUUAGAUACCCUGGUACGUCCACGCCCUAAACGGUGGGUACUAGGUGUAGGGCUCGUAAGGGUUCUGUGCCGAAGGGAAACCAUUAAGUACCCCGCCUGGGGAGUACGGCCGCAAGGUUGAA